GCCGAUAUAUGCAACUUAUUCUUCAAGGACCAAGGACCAAGGCUUUCUUUAGUGUUUGGCUUUCGCAAACAGAGUGGACUAUCUUUUAUGUUCGGUUUGAUGAAAGGAGCUCCAGACCUGCACCUUGUGCAUAUACUUACUGUUAUGACUUUGUAGAGCUGGAGUUACUGAACUUGCAAUAGAUUACCUACGCAUGAUGAGAUGGAAAAACCAGCCUCUUAGUGCGUACAGUUGUAUUGCUGUUAUAAUGGAAUCCAACAGGAGAUGCAUGAUAAUAACAUGACUGCUAUCAGGAUUCAGGAGUCUGAUGGAGGAUACUUGCAAGGUUGUUCUGUAGAGCUACUGUUUACUUUCUUUAAAUUACUAAAGACAUAGGUAUGUUGGCUGAUUUGCUGACUUGCAAAUCUAUUAUUCAGAGGUACUGCAGUGAACCUACAGUGCGGGCUUUUGCAAAGGUGAACCGGCAAAAUAAUUAAUGUUUAUUUCUUUAAUGCUUAAGCUGUAUAAUACUAUAAUUCUUUAAUGAAGCUUGCAAACCACUGAGCAAAAUGAUUAUAAAGAGCAUGGAGUCGGACAAGGUUACUUACACAUCAGUUAUAUCUGGGUUCUGCAGAUCUGAAGACAUGAAAGAAUCUUAUACGAUCUUCACAUAAAUGUUGCAAAGAGUUCAUGUUUCCUUAGCUGUUACUUAUACAUUUCUAAUUGAUGGAUGCUGCAAGGCGCUUCGCAUUGAUGAUGCUAAUAUUUGUUCAGAAAGAAAAAUUCACUUGAUUUUAUCUCUUAGAGUAUUCUGAUUGAUAGUUAUUAUAGGUCAAGGAAAGGUAGAUAAAGCUAGUGAGGUAUUUCAGGAAAUAAAAGCCUUGAUCUGUCCUAGAGGAAAUGAUCUUGAGAAUGUGUAUAGAAAUACAUCCGCUACCAAAGAAGGCUCGAAAAAUUACCAAAUUCUAAAGGAUGAUAAGAUGGAAUGAGAACCAGAUUAUCAAGCACAAGUUUGUGACAGCCCUAGGACCUGGGGCUUACUCUUUGGUUUGAUCUAGAAGAAUUGGAAGGACAGGAAGAAGAUAGAUUCUUAACUAAAGGUAUCAAUGACUGCACAACAUCUGUCAUUAGAGGACGAUAAUCAGCUUCAGUCUGCACGCACAUGGCCGCAAUUGCAGCUAUCUGUAUAUGACCAUAGAGCAAUCAUUACAAGUCUCAUCCGUCGGAGCAUGACUGUUAUAAAUAAUAUCGCAAGGAGUAAGAUGAUUAUUGUAAUCGGCAUUACAACAAGAAGAAUGGUAGUGGAAGGGAGAAUAUCAUGGUGGUGACUGUGUGCUGCAAGCUGUGGCGU